CCCCGGGCAGGGAACCGGGCGGUCCCCCCCCUCCUCCGCUCACAGCCCUUCUUCACACCCCGGCUAGGAACAAAAGAAAUGCAAAAAGAUUGCCUGGAAAAAAGAAAAAAAGAAAAAAAAAAAACACGGAGGUCCCCAAUCCCGCUCCCCCUUCUUCACACCCCGGCUGGGAACAAAAGAAAUGCAAAAAGGUUGCCUGGAAAAAAAAAAAAAAAAAAAAAAAAAAAAAAAAAGAAAAAAAAAAGAGAAAAAAAAAAAAAAAAAAAAAAAAAAAAAAAAAAAGAAAAAAAAAAAAAGGAAAAAAGAAGAAAGAAAAAAGGAAAAAAAGAGGAAAAAAAGGAAAAAAAGAAGAAAGAAAACAAAGGAAAAAAGAAAAAAAGAAGAAAAAAGAAAAGGAAAAAAGGGAAAAAAAGAAAAAAAGGAAAAAAGAAAAAAAAAAGGAAAAAAGGAAAAAAAAGAAGAAAAAAGAAAGAAACCAAUUAGGAUUGUUUCCAGGUGAAAAAAGGGGAAAAAAAGAAAAAAAGGAAAACAAGAAGAAAAAAAGGAAAAAAGGAAAAAAAGAAGAAAAAAGAAAAGGAAAAAAGGGGAAAAAAAAGAAAAGGAAAAAAAAGGAAAAAAAAGGGGAAAAAAAAAGGAAAAAAAAAAGAAGAAAAAACAAGGAAAAAAAAAGAAAAAAAAAAGGGAAAAUCAAAAGGUGCAGGGGGAAUGCGGGCAGCGGGAGAGGAGGGAAGGAGACUCCCCGAAGAUCCCGCGGAGCUGGCAAGUGUCAGAAUAUCAACAGCUGUUCCCAAAGCACAAAAAUAAACCCGCUGGAAACGCCCCGCUAUUUGCAAACCCGCGCUCCCCCCGCCCAGCCCCGCUCCCGCACCGCCCCGCACCGCCCCGCACCGCCCCGCACCGCGCCGGGCCGGGGGGGGGGACACGGCGCCCGGGCAGGAGAGGGUCCCCUCUCCCUUCCCAAGUGACACCCAGCNNNNNNNNNNNNNNNNNNNNNNNNNNNNNNNNNNNNNNNN
rnacentral:lncRNA from 1 species